GGGGGUGUAGCUCAGUCGGGAGAGCGCCUGCUUUGCAAGCAGGAGGUCAUCGGUUCGAUCCCGUUCACCUCCACCA
rnacentral:tRNA from 2 species